GACAGAUCUGCUGGGCUUUUUGUGGAGUCCUCCUAACUCUUCUUCAGUUCUGCUUCUUUGAACUAGCCGGAGAGAUUUCAGAGGCAACUUCAAUCAUGAGGUUUCUUUUCCUAAUCUUUGCAUUGCUUCUUCUCUUCUAUGUUUCUUCAGGGCAAUUAAGAAACUGUAUAAGCGAUGGUGGUUUCUGUCAGACUGGUCUCCAAAAGGAAUGCGAGUUUGGAAGCCUCCCAUACAACUGUGGCAUUAAUGCCCUCUGCUGCAAGCGUGGACCGUGAAACCACCAACCAACAAGCAGUUGUAAAACCCUGGGAUAUUAUUGCUAUGUUCCUUAACAAGAACCUUGCUUCUCUAGGGUGGAACAUCCAACAACUGUGGUCUUAACGGAAAAUGUUGCAAACUGUUAUGUAACAGCAAGCAGUGAAAAAACAUUGUAAUUAAACAAUUUAAUGAAUUUGCAUCAAA